rnacentral:rRNA from 1 species
CCUACGGGAGGCAGCAGUGGGGAAUAUUGCACAAUGGGGGAAACCCUGAUGCAGCGACGCCGCGUGAGUGAGGAAGUAUUUCGGUAUGUAAAGCUCUAUCAGCAGGGAAGAAAAUGACGGUACCUGACUAAGAAGCCCCGGCUAACUACGUGCCAGCAGCCGCGGUAAUACGUAGGGGGCAAGCGUUAUCCGGAUUUACUGGGUGUAAAGGGAGCGUAGACGGUUAAUCAAGUCAGAAGUGAAAACCCAGGGCUCAACCUUGGGACUGCUUUUGAAACUGGCAAACUGGAGUGUGUGAGAGGAUAGUGGAAUUCCAGGUGUAGGAGUGAAAUCCGUAGAUAUCUGGAGGAACAUCAGUGGCGAAGGCGACUAUCUGGCACAUAACUGACGCUGAGGAGCGAAAGCGUGGGUAGCAAACAGGAUUAGAUACCCCUGUAGUC